UCCGGUUUGGCACCGGCAGUCGGACUAGAGUCCCCGACUUGACUCGCUGGCAACUAGUCCCAAGGGUUGCGCUCGUUGCGGGACUUAACCCAACAUCUCACGACACGAGCUGACGACAGCCAUGCAGCACCUGUGCAGGAGCUCCGAAGAGAACCCCGGGUUUCCCCAGGAUGUCCCCUGCAUGUCAAGCCCAGGUAAGGUUCUUCGCGUUGCGUCGAAUUAAACCACAUGCUCCACCGCUUGUGCGGGCCCCCGUCAAUUCCUUUGAGUUUCAGCCUUGCGGCCGUACUCCCCAGGCGGGGCACUUAAUGCGUUAGCGCCGACCCCCACGGGGUCGCUCCCCCAGGGAUCUAGUGCCCAUCGUUUACGGCGUGGACUAC
rnacentral:misc_RNA from 1 species